GUGCGAUAAAAUUUUGUGUCCGGAAUGGAAUUUCUGCAGCCGAAACGUUGAGAAUGUGUCAGAAGGCGUACGGUGAUGGCGCUUUGUCACAAGCAAGAGUUUUUGCAUGGCACAGAAUGUUUAAAGAGGGCCGAGAGAGCGUUCAAGACGAGCCACGUGCCGGACGGCCAUCCACAUCAACUGAUGUGAUUCACGUCCAAAAAAUCCGAGAUUUGGUGCUCGAAAAUCGUCGAUUGACUGUCCGAGACCUUACUGAUCUUGUUGGCAUAUCGGACUGAGCUGCGGGCCAUACCUACAGACGACUAUGCGGCAUGUUUCGAAAAUUGGAAAAAGCGUUGGCACAGUUGCAUUGCAACCGGGGGGGACUACUUUGAGGGGGAUGAUACGAAUGUGGAUGAAUAAAUAAAGAAUUUUUGAAAAACAAA